CUUUUGUGCUUUAAAAUAGCUACCUGAAUGUUUCCAAAGCAAUGACAUUCAAUUGCAGUUUAUUAAUUCUAACAGAGCUGGUGAGUAACUGAAGGCUUUACCAAGCAAAAAUGAAAGGAUGUGAAGUGCAAGAAUUCUCAAAAUGACCAAGAGAGGUCAUUGGCUUGGGAAAGACAGAAACAGUUCUAGGGUCAGAAGUCAAAGGAAAUCUGGAAACAGACACUUGUUAAAAGUGAGCUCCAGAGAUGGCAGGUAACCAAGGACAGAAGCCUUAUUGUCUCAUUUUUUAAAUAGUGCUUAUUCUGAGGCAAAAAUGAUAGAAGAAAUUAGACUAUUGUGUGGACUACUGUUGCCAUAUAAGUACUGCAGAUAUUUUUGAUGUGUCUUAUACUUUUUUCCUCAAACAGGCCAGUAAGUAGGCUUGCAUAUUAAGAAUAAUAAACUAUCCAAAAAUGUUGUGUUUUACGGGCUUAAAUUAAAUAUGAUUUCGUCUACAAAAUAGCUAAGACACUUUUUAGUCAAGAAGCCAGAUCUAUUCAGUUCAAUUUGGAUUCCAGCCUUUUUUCCUACAUGAUUUUAGUCAAAUUAUUCAAGCAUUUCAUGCCUGAAUUUCCUCAACUAGAAAACUGAGAUAAUAGUAUCUGACUUUUUGUAAUAAUUUAAGGAUAAGUGAUGUAGCGUGAAAAAUACCUAGCAUGCAUUGUAAAGUCACCAUACUCCAAUAAAAAUUAAUUUAAAAAAAUACCUAGCAUGGCACUUGGCAUAAGUAGGCUUUUAUUAUUAUAGCAAGUAUUAUUAUAAUAAUAUAUUCUUGAUCUUAUUACUUUUUAAUAUGCUAAGGAUAAUAAAAGAAGUAUGCACCAUUUUAUUUGUCAAAAAAUUUAAAUGCCCACCAGGUUGAAGAGUAGGUUAUGCUGUAGUUUUUGCUGUGAGUUUUUGGGGAUUAUUUACAGUGUCUAUCUAUUCAUCCCAUUGCCAUUUCAGCUGUGUAUUUAUUUAUAUGGUUUGUGCUACAUCAUAAAAAUUCACUUUACAUACUUGACUACAAUCCAGCAUGAAAAUUAAAAAUUUGUGUGUGGAAGAAAAAGGACAGAAAUAGAGCAAUGAAAUGAAAUAUAAUAACUACAUGUUUAUACUGAAUUUGAAGCAACAACCAAAAUUUUAACAAAAAUAAGAUAAAGUUGCACCAUAGCUGGUCAUUGAGACAAAUUAUGAAGGGAUUGUCUAUUCACAGAACAGACACUUAAAGGCAGCAAAAAUUUUGAAGAAUCUUAGAAUGGACCAUGGAAUUUUCAAAGUUAAGAGAUGUUGGUGUGAGUAACUUAUGUGUCGUGAAGACUAUCUCUCAGACACCAAAUGACGAUUUGUCAAAAAUAUCUGACUGAUUUUCAGGAAAAAUUAAUUUCCAGUAAUAUUUAAUUGUUAAGGAAUCAAGUUAUUACAAAAGAGAGGUGCAGAAUGUUUACAUUCUCUUUUUUCUCAAGAUAGAGAUCAAGUUCAUAAAUAUUUUUUAUGAUAACUGGCAUUUUAUAUACAUAAGAAGGAGUCAUAAUUUCUAAUGCUUGGUGACUGAGAACAAUUUAGGAGCUCUUAACAGGAAGACAGACCUACACUCCUGUUAUAACAGAAUAAGAAAGUGAUACAAUUUUUGGCUAAAAAUGCUAUCACAUGAAGUGUUUCUUUUAUUUCUCAAAAAACAUUAUUGAGCAAAUAUGCGUUAUUCUAUGCAUAGUACAUUUCACCUUACAACUAUUAUUUCAUAACAGACAACAUCGAGAAAGACAUAAUCAAGACCCCAAUUUCCAAAGGAAGCAGGGGAUUGCUGACCAUCUUCCUCUAAUGUUACUUCACUUUAGCUGAGCUAGAGAGAAGGCAAUUUGUAACUUUGGCACGUGAGGAAUUAGAUGAUGGUUAUGAUACAACUGGAAAGAAAACAGCUCUGACCUCUAUCUCAAUGUUACAGUUUUUAAAAAGAUUUUUUUAGCAAUUAAUAUUUGGAGAUACAAGUGAUAAAAAUACUAUAGGAAAAAAACCAUAUGGCUAUUACAUUAUAACCAAAAUAUCAAUGAUAAUGAUUCAGGAUGAAGAAUCCCAAAAUACUAUAAAAAGAUAAAAUGAUCUACUUAUUUUGAACUAAAAUCUUUCAGCUUUUCACAUAUACACACAUAAAUAAGCAACUUUCCGUAUAUAAUGCAGUUGGAGGGUGUGAUGCAAGUUAAAUACUUUAAAGCCUUGAUGCAGUGCUGUGUCAUUACAAAUAGACUUUUACAAGCACUCUGUGUAGGCCUCAGUCACCAUGGAAGCUCGGCUGAAACUGGCUCUGGAAGUCUCUGUCUCUACCUUAUUGUACUUAAUACCACCAUUAGCUGGGACCAUGGGUGGUCACUAUUUUAUGCUUUACUCCACUAUCUUAAAAUCAUAAUUAGAGCCCAUGCUGAGCAUUCAUCAUUCCUUGUAGACACAAAUUAAAUGAGGCUUGAAGAGUGUAUGCUUACUCCAUGCUAAGUGAGUAAUGAGUUUUUAUGCAUAUGCCAGUGGAAUUUUUCUAGAUGGGUAGAACAAGAACACACAAGUCAGGGAAAGGAAAAAAAAAAGAUUGAUUAUAGUUUUCUUAGGCAAUUAGUGUUCAAUUGUCAAAUAUAUGAAUCAUCCUGGCUGCUGCUUUCUCCUCAGUUCGCCUGUAUUUUGAAGGAGUUAGCAGUUAACUAACCUCUCUAAAACUUUUACCCAGACACAGGUUAUCCAAAUUGGAAUCCUCAGAACCUCCUUAAACUCUUCACUCUACCAAAUCCUCAUAUUCCAUGUCCCAUUGCUUUUUGUCAUCCAUGUAGUUCUCAAAAAUCCCAUCUUUCUUUUAUUAUGGUCUUAUUGCAGUUAGAGUCUGAGACAUCUUUAAGAGUCCAUGUAGUCCAAACAUCUCAUAUUACAGAGUUCCAGACAGCUGAAGUUUUAUAGAUAGUUAAUGGUGGAAUUAUAACUGAGAUUCAGACCUUUGAAUCCCCAAUAGAGUUCUCUUUCCACAUGUUGCCUUUAGGAAAGUGGAUUAUUCGCAGUCUGUGUUAAUGUGACACUUACUGUCCCAAUUAUAAUAGUCUAAGAAUAUUUAUCUUAGUGUCAUUUCCUUCUUUGGAAAAAAAAGACAAAACAGAACUGAUAGAAAAGUGUCAUGUAGCCUUGGAGGAGUUAGAGCCUGGGAUCAAAUCUCUCUGCAACUCAUACCAACGUACCCACAGAAGCAACAAAUGGACAGGUGAAGUAUCUUGUUUACCUUUUCAUCCUUAGUAACUAGAAAAUGCCUGGAACUGACAAGUAUUUCAUGAAUAUUGGUUGAAUUCAAAUGAAUCAAUCAUUCGACAACUGGUUGUACAAUUAGAAGGCGUGCACCUUCUCCCCGUCUCAAUAAACAGUUUACAAUUUUCAAUGUAUCUACUACAGAAAAUCAACAGCAGUUUCCAAAGUAACAGAAGAAAUAUUGUUUUGUUUUGUUUUUUCAUAAAUUUAUUUAUUUAUUUAUGUUUUUGCCUGCGAUGGGUCCUUGCUGCUGCGUGCAGACCCUCUCUAGUUGUGGCGAGCGGGGGGCUAUUCUUCGCUGAGGUGCAUGGGCCUCUCAUUGCGGUGGCCUCUCUUGCUGCGGAGCACGGGCUCUAGGCGCGCAGGCCUCAGUAGUCGCGGCAUGCAGGCUCAGUAGUUGUGGCUCGUGGGCUCUAGAGCGCAGGCUCAGUAGUUGUGGUGCUCGGGCCCAGCCGCUCCGCGGCAUGUGGGAUCUUCCCAGACCGGGGCUUGAACCCAUGUCCCCUGCACCAGCAGGCAGACUCUCAACCACCGUGCCACCAGGGAAGUCCCAGAAAUAUUGUUUCUGAAUGUCAUAAAUAUUGUACAAUCUUUAAAGAAGUAAUAUUCCAUAUUUAGCAUUGAUUUAAAAAUAUUUCGUUAUUAUUUGUUGCCUUGUUGCAGUGAAUAUAUUUUACAGAACAUAUGACAGAAUUGUCUCUCAUGGAAGUCUAGCUUCCUGAGAUAAGAGUUUGCAGUACCACAGUCUUUCUUUAGAGCAUGCAUUUAUUUACUCCAAACUUGGGAUGGAAGUAAAAGAAGAGACCUCUCCCCUGCUGGAGCCACACCAAGUCAAUCCUCUCACUCACUCAUUUGCUCAACAAAUGUUUGUUGCUAGAGGCUCUCAGCUUUGUCAGUCUUCUCAUCCUCGAGGGCGGAAUGACGCAGGGACAUUCCAGAAGUUAUCUGUUGAGCCACCCUCUGGAGCUCCAGUCAUUGUGAGGAGUCAGCCUGCCUGUUCCUCUCACCCUACCCUUUCUGCCACUCCCAGCAGACACCCUGGGAGAGUUUACUCAAAGUGACAAAUCUCCAAACCAGUCUGUUUAUAUAGGCUCUCCCAGUAACCCACUAUCAUAGAUAAUUGAGAGCUUACUGUACUCUAAUUAUAAAAAAACAUCUUGAACUUUAGACACUUAAUACACACAGCCUUUACGGAUGGGUGAAACAGCUGAACUUGGAGACACCUGAACUUCAGGGAGCACAUUCAUCAAGAGAGUCAGGGAAGAAAGAGUACAUCAUAUCAGGUAUAAUGAAUGCCAUGUAAACAUGAAAUCAUGACUAAUAAGAAGAAGUUAUAAGAAUAAAUUAAUAUUAUAAAUCUGUAAGAAACACAUCUAUACAAUAUUUACAGUAUACACAAUGAUGAUCUCACUUUAUAUAUAGCAGUUCUUUGAAACUUUCCAAAAGUCUCAAAACAUUUCCACAUAUGAUAUUGUCCUACCAUCAUAACUCACAUGGAAGAGAGUUAAAAGUGAAUUUACCUGCAUUUUAGAGUUGCUGAAACUAAGGCAUAUCAAAGUAUUUUCCUCCAAGCAUUACCAUGCUGUUAAUGUUGUAGGCAGAGAAUAAAACUCGUUUUCUAGUUCUUUCAUAUCAGUUUCUCAUCUUAAACUGUAUAUACAUUUUGUUUUUCAAAAACCAGAUUUUAAUUGUUGUUCUCUUUCUCCCUUCCUCCCUCCCUUCCUUCCUCCCUUUUGUGUUUUCUUUAAAUACCAAAAGUUAGAUGACUUUUUUUCGUCAUCUACAGAUUAGAAGCUCACAUGAAAUCCUUCACAAUUUAAGUUUUCAAGAUUUUAGUUUGUACUUCAAUAGAAGAUUUUAUAACUUAUAUAGCAAAAUCCAUUCAACGAAUAUUUGAUGAUCCUAACAAUGAAUAUAAUACAUGUUAUAUACUGUGGUGGAGACAAAAGAAGUAUGAUUCAAGAUGGGUGCAGUCUCUAAGAGCUUACUAAAGAAGCAAGACAUACAGCCAUGAAAGAGUGGAAGUGAUAAUUAUAAUAAAAAGUAACGACAGAAUUUUAAAGAAAGCCUAUAUGGAAGCGAAAAUCAGUUAGGAAAGGAACCUAACAUUUUUGAGGAUCUAUAUUUAACAGGGAUUUUGCAAUCAUUAUCUCAUUUCAACUGCACAAGGGUGAGAUAGAUAUUAUCACUUCAAACAUACAGAUUAAAAAAACAAAACAAAACUGAGGCUAAAAGAGGAUAAGCAAAUUUCCCAUGAUAAAAUAGUCAGAUUUGAAACUAAGUGCAUGAUGUCAAAGAUCUUAUUUUGGACCCUGAAGGACUUAGAAAGCUGUAGGUAGAGAGAAAAAGCAUAAGCAAAGGAAUACAAAGAUUAACAAAUGAACAAGGGAUCUGAGCCAGUCUAGCCUGGCUAAAGGAAAUAGACUUGGCAAAAGUGAUAUAUAAAUGUUGCAUUUGCUUGUAUUUAAUUUAAAUAGUCAAUAAAUUGGCUAUAACAUGAUUAAAACCUUUUUGAGACUAUUAUUCUGGAAGGACACACGGAAUAGAUGCUAUUGCAAAAGUGUAGCUAGGAGCGAAUGAGGUACUAAAUGGUGGCUGCUCUUGGGAUUACAAAGGGAAAGACAGGAGAGAUAUUCAGCAGUAUUAACUGUAGGAAAGUGUUUGAAACUUUGGGUUAUGGUUGAGGAAGGAGACAAAAGAUAUAUAAAAUUGUAAAUUGAUUGGGACUUAGUAGAACCAAGAGUAGAUUAAAAAAUAAAGGUUCUGAUUUGCUGAUUUUGAGAUAUUGUUAGAAUUGAAAAAUGAGUUUCUAUAACUAAGAGAACAUUCACAGAGCAGUGGCCUUAAGCCUUGGCUAUCCCUUAUAAUGACUUUAAGAAGAGCUGUGACUAGUUAUAUUGAUAAAACCAAAGAGGAAGAAAGAAGGAAGAGGUGCAUUGAAAUACCGAUGUCUAGUAAUUGGGAAUUUAUUCAGUCAAGUAAAGAAGUGAAAGAAGAAGAAUAGAGGAGGUGAUAAAAGAAAAAUAUUUCAGAGUUUAAGAUUAAGCUGGGGAAAUUAACAUCCAAAUACCUUGGGGACUAAAGAGUCAGAGGGGUAAAGAUCACUGAAUUUAAAGAGUUUAAAGGCAUGUGAGGCUAUCAAGUUAGAAAAUUUGCACAAGGCUUCUAAUCUAGUUUACAUAGACCACUAAACAGAAGCUACUAAAAGAAACAACAUUUUAAACAUUCAAGGAAAAUCAUUUCUGAUAUUUGUACACAAGCAUUUGUCAGGAAUUGUUCAUUGAAACCCUUGUCAGUUCUUUUAAAUAAAAGAAGUGGAGGAGUUCCAUGGCCCAAAAUUUGGGAAAAUAUUGAAUCCUACUUUCUAUUAUUGGAUAUUUGCAAUGUAUAUUAGCAUAUUAAAAGAUCUGAGAAUGUGUUAAGAACAAACAAAAAUACACAAUAACACACAACAACAAAUAACCUGCUUCACUUAAGAUAACUGAAUAUGUCCAAAAUUAUUUGGUUUCUGAACUCCGUUUUUUCGAUUACACCUAAAAAAGAUCCACUAAAGUAGCAUUUUAUGAAGCAUCUUGGGAAACACUGGCUUGCCUAGUCCAAAUUACAUUGUAGUCUUAACAAUUGUUUUUUUCACAUUCAUUGAGAAGUAAUUAAAUUAUUCGGGAAGUUUUUACUUUUUCUACUUUUACUUUAUUUAUUGAAUUAAGUAGCCAGCUAAUUUCUAUUUUGUCUUUAACUUAGUAGACAAAGCUUCAUUUCUAUUAUGUUUGAUUUUACAUGAGUCGAAGCACACCUUUGUGUACUUGUGUUAUAGGAAUCUACAAAUACUCAUGUUUCUAAAACAAUGUGAGAGAAUAGGUGAAUGUUUGCCUCAAAAUGUCCAUAGAUGCAGAGGAGUAGAGGAUACUACAGUAAUAAGAAUUCAUAAAGAGAACAUGUUAACAGGCUCACCAACCAUUUAUUUUUUUCUAUGCAAUUGUAUAUACAUGCAUGCACAUACACAAAAUAUACAAGUGCAUAUGCUGAUUUAUGUAAAUAUAAUAUAGGGGAAGAAAAACUAGAAGAGCAUACAUCAGAAUAGUAACCUAGGUAUUCUAUGUAGAAAUUGGUUUUCAUUUUUUCCAUUUGGUCCAAUUAUACAUACUAAGUUUUUUACAGUGAGCAUAUUCUAUAUCUGUAAUUAAAAAAAAAAUCAGCUUGACCAAAUGUUCCACUGAUCACAAGAGAAAUUCAAUCCUGGCUUUAAAAGGCUGAUUUAUGUUCUCACAGAAAAUUACAGACAACUGAAACACAAAUGUAAGCCUACACCAGCACAGGUCCACACCUGGGUCAAGAGGUAAUCUAGUUGGUGUUAUAUAUAAUAUUGUGUUGUUUCAAGUCUGGAAUAUGCUGAAAAGUAUGAUUAUAAAUGAGUUUGGAAAAGAUAAAAUCUCAUAUGCAAAGGUGUUCAAUGGAUUUUAAAAACAAUGUGGGAAACAAAUAGCUCCUUUCAAGUGAGUAAUAACCCAAACGUAGGUUAACAUUUCUUAAAAGAAUAAUUGAAAAUCAGGUAUCCUGCUAGGUUAAGCAAUAUAAAGUUACUGCUAUUAAACAAUUUUUCACUUAAGAAAUCUGCAAUUUCAUUUGGUUCAAACUAACACUUGAACAUGCAUGUCAUCAGGAUGUUAAUAAUUUACAAUAGAAUGCAUCUACUGAAUUGAGAGCUAGUUCCUGUGCAGAAAAUAACUUGAAAAAAGAAAGUAAGUAGGAUGUUUGUUGUUGUUUAGGACUGAAAAGUCAUUCUGCUGUUUUCCUUUUCUUAUUUCCUUAUAUCUGAUGGCAAGGACUUCCAAGGACAAAUAAUAAUUUGAUUUGCAUUAUACUUAAGACAUAAUUAAGCUCCAGGGUGUAGUUAUACACAGAAACACAUAUUACUAAGUAAUGGGCAGGGGAUGGGGAGGAUACAGUAGUUUUCUUUCAGGAAUCUAAUGAGAUGAAGGGUUUAGGUCAGAUUACAGUAAACAUUUAAUUAUAUACAGAUGCAGUGUAACUCACCAAUAGGAGAAAAGGGCACAGUAAUUGCUUUCUUUCUAGGAUGAAACUAUCUUAAAUUAGUAAGAUUCUCUCUGUUUUCAAUCCUCACCUGUUGAAAACUGAGCAUAUUUUAUUUGAUCCCAUGAUUCUCUUCCUAGUCAAGAUACCACCUACUUCUUUCAUGAAGGUUUAGAGACAGAAAUUCUAGGUUAAUGAUGCUGGUUUUGUGACUUAUAAAUUCUAUUAACUUUAGCUAUAUUCAAUUAUUUUUCCUUUAAAAAAGCUGUUCUUGAGUUUCUUGUUUUUACAAAUGAUCUGCUAUUGUGUUGUAACACAAAUGUGCUGAGGUGAUUUUGUUGAAGUAUAAUAGUAUCCCCUAAAGUCUUGGUAGUCUUUGUGGCGUUUUUUGUUUGUUUGUUUUGGUUAUAGUUUGUUUUGCUUUGUCUUGUUUGAAUACAAGUUCUUAAUUACAUAAAGCAAAAGAAGAAAUUCUAAUAUAUCACUGUGAGGGGAAAAACAUCCAGUAAAUCAAAAGAGAACAGUAGUGACUCACAAAGAAAAAAAGUGGUCAUAAAACUAGGUGAGCGAUUAUGUAGGCAAAGAAUAAUCUCAGAGAUGUGCCAAAAACAAAAACAGAAUAAACAAUCAAAAAGGCUCUACAAGAGAUAGGAAACGGAAAGUUCCACAGAUAAGCAACUUCUCUUAGAAACAAUAGAAUACAAUAUGUGGAAAACAAACUGAGGACAAUAAAUAAAUCAGAGCAUAUUUAACCUUUACAUAUAAUAUAUGAUGGAAUAAUUUCUCUAACAUCUCCUUUAUACUAAAAAAACUGAAAAAGUUUUCAAAGAGUUUUGCUUAUUCUUAGACCUGGGUGAUGAUGCCUGGGUGAUGAAGAAACUAUACUUUGCUAAUGAUAAAUUGCUGCACUGCCAAAGGAAGAAAGUAUGUCUUUAGAAAACACCAGAAAAACUUAUAUUUCAAGUUCUAUGCACAGAUAAAUUCAUGCAAAAUUACCUAAUCUGAUUAUUUAUCUAUUGGUACAUAACAAAUUAUCUCAAAGCUUAGCAGCCUAGAAACAACACAAAUUUAUUAUUUCACAGUUUCCUAGAAACAGCUGAGCUGGGUCCUCUCCUUCAAAAGCUCUCACAAGACUGUAAUCAAGGUGGUCUUAUCUGAAGGCUCAAAGUAGGAAGGGUAUGUCCUCAAGCACUAACCUGGAAGAAAUACGUCAUAUUUACCUUAAAGUCAUGAAUCUAACUCCAACUGCAGAAUUUGUCCAAAUUAUUUAGAAUAAAACCCACAAACUUGGAAAUGAAAAUGAUAGAAGUAAUGAAAAUAGUUAGAAACAAUUAAAAAUUUCUUAAAUGCCUCACUAUAGAUUUUACUUAUUUAUUAUUUAUUUUGUUUUGUUUACUUUUGGCUGUGUUGGGUCUUCGUUGCUGUGUGUGGGCUUUCUCUAGUUGCAGCAAGCGGGGGCUACUCUUCGUUGUGAUGCUCGGGCUUCUCAUUGCAGUGGCUUCUCUUGUUGCAGAGCACGGGCUCUAGGUGUGCGGGCUUCAAUAGUUGUGGCUCAUGGGCUCUAGAGCGCAGGCUCAGUAGUUGUGGCGCAUGGGCUUAGUUGCUCCGUGGCAUGUGGGAUCUUCCUGGACCAGAGCUUGAACCCGUGUCCCCUGCAUCGGCAGGCGAAUUCCUAACCACUGUGCCACCAGGGAAGCCCCUCACUAUAGAUUUUAGAUGCUGCUACUCCAUUCAUUCAUUCAUUCUUUAUCUAUUCUUUCAUCCUGUAAAUAUUUUUGAACCCUUACUUGUUUAUGAGGAUAUGUCAGUGAACAAAACAAUGUCCCUGCUCUCAUUCAGCUUGUACUGUAGUUAAUGGAGAUAAAAAAAUAUUCAACAUUUAGCUAGCGUAACUUGCUAUGAGAAAGCAAAGCAUGUUACAGAAGUGCGGCUAAUUUUAUGUACAAUGGUCAAUCCAGGUCUCCCUGAACAGCUGAAAUUUGUGCAGAUGCUUGAAGAAGAAAAUACGCAAGAUGUAUAAAUAACAGGGUGCAGAGCACUUCAGAGGGAAGAGAGAGUGCAUAAACUGCAUUGUGGGCAUGCAUGAUGUGUUCGCAGAACAGAAACGAAGAGAGGAUGGUUGGAAGCAUGGCGAGGAGGAUUCAGUCAUGGGAAAUCGGAGAGGAAACUGCUAGACUGUGUCAGCCUGGUAGGCCAUCAUAAAGGUUACCAUUUCUCUGGGUAAACUGGGAAGACAUAGGAGGGACAAAAUCAAAGCAAUGUUUUAAUAGGAUCCCUAUGGAUAUUGUAUGUAAAAGAGAACACUGGGGGUGGGGUAUACAGGACAGUAAAAAUCCACUGAAACAAUUCAGGUGGGAAAUGGUGGCUUGAAUGAAGGUGACAGCAGUGGAGAUGGUGAGAAGUGACCACAUCUGGGGUAUACUUUGAUGUGUGGUGAAUGUUUUAUUGAAAAAAUUAGAUGUGGUGUAUAAGUAAAACAAAGUAGGUGCUUUUUUUUUUUGCAGAUACUAAAUUAAACAGAUAAAAUUAAUCCCUAAUUUUACUGAUGAAAUUUUCAUAUAAACAGCUUAAACUAGUUUUCUUAAAGGAAAUAAUAUUUUUUACUGAAAAAAAGAAUUUUGCCCUUUUAAAUUUCACAUGCUCUUUAUCUGAUUUGGAAUUUUUUUCAACUUUAAAACAUUCAUGAAUAUUUCUGAAAUAUUUCAUUUCUCACUAAGUACUCUGUGAGAAGCCUAUCUCAGAGAAAAUUUUGUAAGACUGAUUCACAUCAACUUUCACUGUUUAUUUCUAAUAAAGAAAAAAAUCUUUAAGAAGUCUUGAUGUAUGACACUCAGUAUAUAUUUAGGGCAAAUGUCAAAAGCUUAAGAAUCAAUUACAUAUCCUGGAGUGUCAUAUUGACAGACUCACUCUUUUCUUUACUAUUGAUUUACUCUCUGUUGGACAAACAUAAACACAUAAAAAAGAAAGAAAUCUAUUUUUUAUAGUGACUAGAAUUUUAAUUCCUGGGAAAUUUGUUGUUAAAAGCAGAAACAAUAAAUAUAAAUAAAGGAAGCUUUAAGUAAAUGAAAGCAAUGACACUGAUAAGGAUGAUUAAUUAAUUUUAUCUAAUUUAACUCAUUGAAUUACUUUUGCUUGGAUAUUCCAAGCAAAUACUAAAAAGCUUUUUUUUUUUUUUUUUUUUUGCCUCUUGUCUGGAUAAGGUUGAGAAGAUUGCCAUGUAUCAACACUGUGAUCUUGGUCAAGUUUCAUCACUUUGGGGCCUAUAUCUUUCAUCUGCAAAAUGGUAACAUUGGGCUAUAUAAGACUACUGUGGUCAAAUAUUAUAAGUUUAUUUUGAGAAAAAAAUUUAAACUGAUUUAUAAAUGUUUAUUAUUUCAAAAUCCAUAAUUAUAUAUAAAGAGUUUAAAUUUGCUUUAUUUUCAAAGCUUUGCUAAAUUAGUGAUCUGUUAACAUAUUUAGUCAACAAUUAUGUAUUAUUUACUGUGUUAAUAUUUGCAGAAUCAUGUAUGAAGCACCACCCUCUCCCCUCCUCCAUUAAAUUUUCAGUCUUAUUUGGGGAAUAAAAUACACAAACAUAAAUCAAUAGAAAAUGAGAGUGCUCAGAUAGCAUGUGGUCCAGGUUGUGUAUUUUUAUAGUUAGGACUCUGUGGUUGUGAGUGACAGAAACCCAAUUAAGUUGCUUAUACAAAAAACUAGAUAUGUUGUAAAGAUAAUGAAGAUUCUGUGACAAUUAAAGGAAGAUCUGUUGCAAUCUUGGCAUCUCUGAAAACUUCAGGCGGCCAUGGCUCACAGGCCCAGCCGCUCCGCGGCACGUGGGACCCUCCCGGACCGGGGCACGAACCCGCAUCCCCUGCAUCGGCAGGCGGACUCCUAACCACUGCGCCACCAGGGAAGCCCCAAUAAUUGGGCUUUUUGCAAAGAAGCAGGGGCAAGAGAAGGUAAAGUGUAGGAUGAAUCACCAGAUUGCCAUUCACAUUGACAGAAUGGUACCAUUAACACUGAAGAGAGAAUAUCAGAGGAGCAAACAAAACUGACUUAGGAAAACACACUUUUGAUUACUUCAGAAUAUGAAAUUCUCUUAGGCAUUUGGGUUACAAGUCUUUGUGAUUUCAACUUGGACAGCAUGGUCUGUUCUAAUGCUAAAAUCUUUCAUUUUUCUAUAGCUCACCUAUUUCAGUUUUUUUAACUGAAUUUACCCUUGAUUGGUUUGAUAUAGUGAGAUUCCAAAUGGAAGUAUUUCAAUCUGUGACUAGUUGAAUCCAAUAUGGGAUUAACUGUUAUGAUUACUUGUGUGACAUAAGAAAGAUCAAGCAAUCAUUUUUAAAUUGAGUUAUUUUAUCUGUAAAAUGAUAACUAGAAUUACUUUCAAAAUUUGAACAUUUUCUGAGUAUUUUCUUGGAGACAGAUUGAGAACUAAUACUGUAAACCAAAACUACAUUGAAAGUGGACCUAUAGUAUCCCAUUCUAAGAAUAGCCUAGGAAACAGAAAAAAGAGCCAGAAUAUAAAAGUCUGACCUUUCAUUGCUGUCUCUGUCCAUGAUCCUGAAGUUUGAAUUUUAAUGGGAAUUAUCACCCUACUUAUUGAGUCCACUUCCCUAGGAUCUUCAAAUUAGCCAUCAGUCACCCAAAUUCUAUGUCUCUGCCCAGGUUUAUGCCUUUAAACUUUAUUUAAAGGUUUUCCCCAGUAGAAAGACAUCCUGGGCAUCUAGAACAGGGAUGGGGAUAAACAAUAAUAUGAACUCACAUUUACACAGUUCACACUAUGAACCAGGCACUGUUUUGUUUUUUUUUUUUGCGGUACGCAGGCCUCUCACUGUUGUGGCCUCGCCCGUUGCAGAGCACAGGCUCCGGACGCGCAGGCUCAGCGGCCAUGGCUCACAGGCCCAGUCGCUCCACGGCAUGUGGGAUCUUCCUGGACUGGGGCACAAACCCGUGUCCCCUGCAUUGGCAGGUGGACUCUCAACCACUGCGCCACCAGGGAAGCCCCAGGCACUGUUUUAAAGGGCUUUGCACUUACCCAACCAUUUAACUAUCACUGCAAUGCUGUGAGGUAGGUUUUUAUUUCUUAUUUCUGUUAUUUUAAAAGUAAGCACACUAAGGUAGAUAUUUUCAGUGAUUUGUCCAGUGUCCUAAAGGCAGUGAGUGGGAAAGCCAAGGUUUGAACCCAAGUAGCUAUCUCUAAAAUCUCUACGUUUAACCACUAUGGAAUUCUACCUCUCAGGCAGGCAAGAAAGUUUAAUGUCACUGGGCUUCUGCAGGAAAGAAGGCUGUGGGCUAAGGGGUACAGCAGCUUUGAUACACUUUAAACUUUAUUUUGGUGAGAGGCAAUGUCACUCACCUGGUGCAUUUACUUCUGGGAGGAUCUCAAUCAGGAGAGAAAUUACAUUUAAAUUUACUCUUACAAGAAAUUGACUCUUUGGUCUCAAGCUUCUUACUUCAGAUAAUUUUGGCUACAUAUUUUCAAUUUAAUCUAAUGGUAGGUGGUUGUGUUUGAGUAAUCUUAAUUAUUAGAAUUAUGGAAAUGGCUUCCUAUGCAUUACAGGUACAAUGACACUAUGUAUUAUAUUAAUAUUUGCUUAAAACAUGUAUUGACAAUGAAAUAUUGACAAGGUGAAACAUUUGUGCUUCCAAGAUUAUUGCAGUGUUGUGGGAGAUGUGAAGCAACUGAUAUAUUUUAAUUUUUUGUUCUUGUCAAAACAGAAAGAUUCUCUGUUGGGGUGACUGCAUUUAUUAUUUAUAGAAACACUCUGUUUUCAAAACCAGUCUGAUCCAAAGAUACAGUGAGUCCAAUGAACACACUGUGCAUAGACAGGUACCUCUUGGUUUCUUUACUUUUCCCUCCAUGUUGUUUUGUGGUGAUGACUGGGAACCUUUAAAUGUUGGUUAAACUUGUUUUUUUAAAUACCCAACAGAUUAGACAUAUUUUAAUUAUAUUGCUCAAUAAAGCAAUCAGUUGUUUCAAAUUAGGCUGAUAUAUUGAAUUAUUAACUAUGUAUGACCCUGAUAACUAUUACACAAGAAGGUCCGUUGUAAAUCAGGUGAGCAUAUUAUAAGUUGGACAGGGCUACACUGAUAUGUUAUUAGAAAAUGAAUUUCCAUAAUGAAUAUUAUUCAGCGCUCAUACAUUUUCAGGGCUGCUGUUAUAUGGUUUCUAGUGAACAGAAUUAUUGAUACUAUUUUCCAAGUUAAUAUAUUUAAGGUAACAGAUUUCAAAUGAUUUAGCUUACAUUAAGAUAUAUUAAUUCAUCCUUUUAACUAUUGUAUUAAAUUAUAUAUCAUAUUAUAUUCAUGUAUUAAGCAAGCCCUACAUACUUCUUACUGUCCAAUUAUAGAUGAUGCUAGAAUGCAGAUCAAAGCUAUCAGGGGAAUAUUUUAAAAAACAUUUAGUGACAAUGAGUGAAAGAGGGGUUUUUUAGGUUUGUUUUGUUUUGUUAAAUUUUGGGGUUUGAUUAAGUUAAGUACAAAUAACUUAUUUUAAAAAGGAAUUCAAAAAGCUAGAUCUUCUUGUAAAUAAAUAAUGAGACGCAUUAACAGAGUUCUAUUUAUAUGCAGUCCAGACAGACAAUGUAACCCAAACAUAAAUGAGGGGAGAUGAGUCUAUACUCCAUAGACUAGAAUAGAAUUGUAAGAGAGCUUGAAAGACUGACAGUUUCUACUGAGGCAGGUCCUUGUCUCCCACAGCUGUUUCUCCCAUCCUACUGACACAUGACUUUAGUCCCUAACACUUCCUCCUCAUACUUCUUGAGAAAUUCGAAUUGACUAACAAAUAACUACUAAUCUGCAGAACAAUUUCUCCAUUUUCCCAGAACUGAUUUUGACCAACUAUUUCCAAAAUUAGCUCAAUUUUGUAUAACUCCUCUUGCUAAAGCUCAGCUAAAAUUUUCCUUCCUUCUUCGUGACAAUGGUUAUUGUGAACAUUCCUGUUCACAGCAUUUUUGAAUAAAGUCUUAGGCUAAUGGUGCUCUGAUUUUCUUCCACAAGAUGAACAGAAAAUUGAGCAAUACGUUCACCUAACAGUGUUGUUGUAAGAACCAAGGUGACUUUCUAUUCCUAUUGAUUCAAAUUAGCAAUUUAAUCAAGAACAAGGAAGUCUUACAGUGCAAAUGGAGUCACUGUUUCUCAUUCACCAAAAAGUAAUUUAUAAAUGGUCACUGAGAUGAAAGCAACACUUGGAUUCUUACUGGCUUUCGGAUAUAGUUGCCCUCAAAAGGCAGGCUAAUGAUAGUACAGAAAUUUAAACAAAUAAAUAAGAUGAUAAAAUGCAUCAAUAGCUGGAUGUGCUUUCUUUUCAGUUUCAUUCAAAAUUUAAAAACAAAAACAAAAAAAGAGAAACAUGAAUUGGGGUCUGAAAUUCUGAAAUAGAAUCCUUAUUCACCUUGGGUACUUGAAAAACAUCACUAAAUCUCAGUUUUCUCAUUUGGAAUAAUUAUAAUUAUAAUGAAUUAGACUGAAUAUGGAAAACCAAGCCCACUAGGCCUUGUGAAUUAGGCUUCCCAGCAACAAAGGACAAAAACCUACUCAAACUACCUGAAGCAAAUAUGAUGACAUCUGUGAAGAAACACUUUGUAAGCUGGAAAUUGUUAUAUAUGUUCAUCAGCUAUUCCUGUGUGAACUGGAAAAAAAAAGCUCUUAAAAUUCUGCUAACUUUUGUGAGGAAGCUAAAAAGUACUGGAAAUAAAUCAUAUCAAUUUGAACUGUUCCCAGAUUUAGGAGAAGGUAUUUGGCUUAGCUUCUCAUUUAGGCCUUUUGACCAAUUCACUCUCCUCUCCACAGUGACUGCUUUCAAAGAUAAACACAUAAUUUAGACUAAACUGGGACAUUCUUUCUUUGUUAGGAGGCUUAAAAGUAACUCUCUUGGGCUUCCCUGGUGGCGCAGUGGUUGAGAGUCCGCCUGCCGAUGCAGGGGACGUGGGUUCGUGCCCCGGUCCGGGAAGAUCCCACAUGCCGCAGAGCGGCUGGGCCCGUGAGCCAUGGCCGCUGAGCCUGCGCGUCCGAAGCCUGUGCGCCGCAACGGGAGAGGCCACAACAGUGAGAGGCCCGCGUACCAAAAAAUAAAAAAAAUAACUCUCUUGCUUCUGGAUUCACAGUGCAGAAAGUAUAAUUAAGUGCUAGCGUUGCCCGUUUUCCCCACCACAUGGAGGAAACCUGAUUGUAUUAAUAGAGAAUGUGGCCAAAACUCAGAGAGAAGCAGGGUGAGUAGGUAGAAAGAGUUCUAAGGACAAUGUGUGAGCCCUAGAUCCACCCUUAUGCCUCUGUCACCUCCACACCUGUCCUCAGUUAUUGUGAAAUUGGCCUAUUUUAAAACUUUCUCUACUUUGAGUUAGGUUUUUACCAAGUGAAUAUUUAAUACACAUGAGAUUGGGUGGACUUGAUCACUUUUAGUUCAAUAGUUUGGUAUAAAAUUUUUGAGAAGAACAUUUGAUAAUAUUAAUAAUGUUAAUAUUAAUUAGAAAAAUGUCUUUCAUGGUGUAUAUAGGUAAAAGUGAAUGGAACCAGACAGAUACUGUGACAGAUUUAACUAAAAAUUAGAAGCAAAAUAAGAACAUUUAAUAUGUAUGUAUACACAGCUAACAGAGUCUUAUGACUGCCUUGUCUGUUCAUAAAAUACCUAUUUCAGAAUUUCUGUUAUUUUAAACUGUAAUGCUGGAUUCUUUUGGAAGGGAUAGUGACUGCAUUCUUUACAAUGACUCUUGGUAUAUCUGUCUUCCCAAAGUUCAUAUCCUUAGUCGAGAUCUUUUUUCAAGUCUAUUAUGUGGUGUGCCAGACUUAUUUAGAUUGACUUGCAAAAUACAAACUUAACCAGAGUGCAUGUAUUGCAUGUCAUUAAUCAAUGACCUAGGUGGGACUGUUGUUUUUGGAGUACUAACUUAGUAGUUCAUCCCAUUUCAAAGUAUGCAGUUUGCCUUGAGGAUUCCAUAGAACUGCCACAACAAAAGCAAUUACAAAAUUAUUUCUUCACUAUUAUCAUACUGUGUUGCUGUGUUGUUUUAAGGAUAGCUGGCUCUAUGCAUCAGUCAAGGGCAUCUUGCAAAAACAGGUUGUGUGGAGGCUGCCUAACCAUGCAGCUUGUCUUGGUAGAAUUUUAUAGGACAUCAUUCUGUAGUGUUCUUUGAGAGCUGACUCAGUUCUGACUUUCUACUUUUUUAUAAGCAAAUCCGUACCUUCCAUUGUGAUGGUCUCAGCAACCCAUAAUCUGUAUCCUACAGAACACAGUAAAUCAUUUAUAUGACUGUUCUAGAGCUAUGCCACACCUUUCUUCCUAUCCUGUCCUUCAAAAAUGCCUAGAUUCUUCAUCUGGAGAUGGAUGAGUAAAACAAUUUUAAUGUAACCAAGGAUUUUUUAGUAGAAACUAGUAUGGUAUUGAAAAAAAAGUUUUUAAUUUAAUUUUAUUAAGAAGGAUUCUAGGGCUUCCCUGGUGGCGCAGCAGUUGAGAGUCCGCCUGCCAAUGCAGGGGACACAGGUUCAUGCCCCGGUCCGGGAAGAUCCCACAUGCCGCGGAGCGGCUAGGCCUGUGAGCCAUGACCGCUGGGCCUGCGCGUCCGGAGCCUGUGCUCCACAACGGGAGGGGCCACAACAGUGGGAGGCCCGCGUACCGCUAAAAAAAAAAAAAAAAAAAAAAAAGAAGGA